GAUGAACGCUAGCGGCAGGCUUAACACAUGCAAGUCGAGGGGUAUAGGUUUUCGGACCUAGAGACCGGCGCACGGGUGCGUAACGCGUAUGCAAUCUACCUUUUGCAGAGGGAUAGCCCAGAGAAAUUUGGAUUAAUACCUCAUAGUAUAACACAAUCGCAUGAUUGAGUUAUUAAAGUCACAACGGCAAAAGAUGAGCAUGCGUCCCAUUAGCUAGAUAGUAAGGUAACGGCUUACCAUGGCUACGAUGGGUAGGGGUCCUGAGAGGGAGAUCCCCCACACUGGUACUGAGACACGGACCAGACUCCUACGGGAGGCAGCAGUGAGGAAUAUUGGUCAAUGGACGCAAGUCUGAACCAGCCAUGCCGCGUGCAGGAUGACGGUCCUAUGGAUUGUAAACUGCUUUUGUACAGGAAGAAACACUCCUUCGUGAAGGAACUUGACGGUACUGUAAGAAUAAGGAUCGGCUAACUCCGUGCCAGCCGCCGCAGUAA
rnacentral:rRNA from 1 species